GGGCCGGUGGUCUAGUGGUUAUGACAUCGCCUUGACAUGGCGGGGGUCGCAGGUUCGAACCCUGCUCGGCCCACCA
rnacentral:tRNA from 1 species